GUAGGGGUGCAAGCGUUGUCCGGAUUUAUUGGGCGUAAAGAGUUCGUAGGCGGUAUAGUAAGUUGCUCUUCAAAUAUCUCGGGCUCAACCGAGAAUAGGGGAUCAAUACUGCAAUACUUGAAGGACACAGGGGCCACUGGAACUUAUCAUGUAGGAGUGAAAUCCGUUGAUAUGAUAAGGAACUCCAAGAGCGAAGGCGGGUGGCUGGGUGUUUUUGACGCUGAGGAACGAAAGCUAGGGUAGCGAAACGGAUUAGAGACCCGUGUAGUCCUAGCCGUAAACUAUGCUCGCUAGCUUCUUGGUCUCACGACUGGGAGGCGUAAGCUAACGCGUGAAGCGAGCCGCCUGGGGAGUACGGUCGCAAGAUUA
rnacentral:rRNA from 1 species